ACGCGUAGCUGUUUGCGGAACGUGGCCGGUGAUAAGAACGUUGCACACCGGUGAUAAGCACGUGCACUUCGCUGCGCUUUGGUCGCGGGCAAAUCCAUCGACCGCCGGUUGGGUGAGGGACCGUUGUCGGUCCGGGCGGCCGCGCACCGUCCCUCACCCGGGCGGCCGACGUGGACUCGCCCGGACCAUGACCUGCCUCAACGCGUGUGCCGGUGCGCAGGCCGAGCCAAGGGGUCCCCCGUGCGCGCAAUCCGCUGACAGCUGCUCGACAUUUUGGGCACCCGCUGUCCGUACGUGUGCAUUUUGAGUCGCACCGUUCACGGACGCAUCACUUGCUCGGAUUCGUACCAGGGUCCCAGGACGCCGAGCGCUCGGCCCGGUGAUCCGGUGGGUCGCGGUCCGUCGUCGGCUGUCGGUCGUAGGUCGUCGGUCGUUUCGUCGCACGGCCACGCCGCCGCCACCGACUGCCGAGUGCCCCGAGUGUGCAGGCUGCAGACUCCCGACGGCGGACCGCCAGCACAUUGCCCGCACCCCGGUAAAAGGUCGCCCGGGCCCUAACAUGACACCCGUCGAGGCUCAGGGCUUUUGCGUGCUGCUGCUGAUGAUCAUCUAUUAUUACGUCUCGCUGUGGUCGUUUUUCUCCCGUUACGACGGCACGGUCAUCGACCGCCGAGGCUUUUACAUAUUUUUUUGGUUGUUUUAAACACGACCGGCGCGCCGACGCCGCCGACACACCAGCUCAUUGCAGUCAGUGCAACUACCAACGCGGCGGUCGUGCCCGUUAUAAUAAUAUGUCAAUAUAUUAUUGUUUGUUGAUUUUCCUCUAUUGCUACAUCGAUACCUAAUAACUUCAAUAAAGCAACAUACCUCCUAAUAGCAAGUAAUUUAAAGGUACUCAUAUUCCUCUACUACGCGUAUACUGGCACUGAUAAAAAGGCAGUACCUACCUAACCUUGAAAAAAUUGUUUAUACAAUAAAUUUCCUACAGACGAACUCAAUGAUUCAGAUUCAAAUACAUACUGCCGUAUUGCCGUUAGCUAUGGCCACAUCAGCAGAACCUAAUUCACCGGUAACUACAUCAGCACCUGUCUUCUUUAAAAAAUUAUUAUUAAUUUGUCAUUGAAUCGUUGUAUAUAAUAUAGAAAACCAAAAGUAUCCGUAGUGAAAUGUUGCAGCACCUAUACGUAAUUCCAAAGUAAAUUUAUCGUUCCCAAUAUACCCCAUUUAGAUUAUCAUAAUAUUAUAUGUUAAUUUAUUUUCGUUCAUAGAAAAAAAGCAACUAAUUAAUAAAACACAAUGAUGACUAUGUAUAACAAUUAAAUUAUAAUAUUAUGAACAAUACAAUUAUGCAACCCAGAUUACCUAUACAGCUAAAAAUAUAUUUUUGUUCAAAAUAUGUUAAAGGUAUAUAAAUUUAAAUUAGUUUGUUAGUUCAGAAUAUUCGUAGAAGAAUAAAGAUACUCUUUUUAUCGAAAAUGAAUUGUCAAAAUUAAAAUAAAUUUAUUAGAUGUGUGAAAUACCCCCUACAAGAAUAUUAGGUAUUCACUAUACCGUAUACGUAUACAACAGUAGUAUUGAUACUGCAAAGUUCCAAAUUUCUUCAUUGUCUAAUGUGUAAUGUGUAUUAUGAAUAUAUUGAAACUAACAUAUUUUCUUAACUUUGAUAUUAUAACAUAGGCGUGUCUACAGGUCAUGCUUAUCAUGCAUAGGCAUGACCUGCGAAAUUUGAUCUAACUUAGGUACAUUACCUAUAAAUUGCGG